CCUACGGGUGGCAGCAGUGAGGAAUAUUGGUCAAUGGGCGCGAGCCUGAACCAGCCAAGUAGCGUGAAGGAUGACUGCCCUACGGGUUGUAAACUUCGUUUAUAAAGGAAUAAAGUGAUGCACGUGUGUCUUUUCGUAUGUACUUUAUGAAUUAGGAUCGGCUAACUCCGUGCCAGCAGCCGCGGUAAUACGGAGGAUCCGAGCGUUAUCCGGAGUGAUUGGGUUUAAAGGGAGCGUAGAUGGGUGUGUAAGUCAGUUGUGAAAGUUUACGGCUCAACCGUAAAAUUGCAAUUGAUACUGGAAGUCUUGAGGACAGUAGAGGAAGGCGGAAUGCGUGGGGUAGCGGUGAAAUGCGUAGAGAUAACGAAGAACUAC
rnacentral:rRNA from 1 species